CGGCGAGUGAAGCGGCAAAAGCUCAAAUUUGAAACCCUCGGGAUUGUAAUUUGAAGAUUUGGCAUUGGAGAAAGCUAACCCAAGUUGCUUGGAAUAGUACGUCAUAGAGGGUGACAACCCCGUCUGGCUAACCGUUCUCCAUGUAUUGCCUUAUCAAAGAGUCGAGUUGUUUGGGAAUGCAGCUCAAAGUGGGUGGUAAACUCCAUCUAAAGCUAAAUACUGGUGAGAGACCGAUAGCGAACAAGUACUGUGAAGGAAAGGUGAAAAGAACUUUGAAAAGAGAGUGAAAUAGUAUGUGAAAUUGUUGAUAGGGAAGGAAAUGAGUGGAGAGUGGCCGAGGUUUCAGCCGCCCCUCGUGGGCGGUGUACUGCCGACGCCGAGUCAUCGAUAGCGAGACGAGGGUUACAAAUGGGAGCGCCUUCGGGCGUUCUCCCCUAACCCUCCACACUGCCACCGACGACAUAAUCCACCCAUUUCACCCGUCUUGAAACACGGACCAA
rnacentral:rRNA from 1 species